UAAAAAUUGUUCCAUUUUAAAAGAUAUGUGAAAAUUACGUGAUGACAUCGAAAAAUACGGGAAAAAAUCAAGUUUAAUUCUUGAAAAACGUUAAAAUGUUUUUUCGAAGUCGAGUAGAUUGAGCUGCUGAGAGCCACAUGCAUAAAAAAUCAAAUCUAACUUUUCGUUGUCUAUAAAUUCAUUAGUCUAUGAAAGGGCUAGGAGUUGAAUUUUUACAAUUAUUUUAUUACAAAAUCUCCAUAGGAUAAACGGAACGGAAAAUAUCAACUAUUUAGAUGAUGGUAUAGGCAUCAUUUGAAAACCACCGCUUGAACCUGAAAAUAAUAGAUUUGAAAUGAAAAAAAAAUUAAUAAAUAUGAAAGGAACUUUAGAAAAUCCGAAAGGGUCAUCAGACCCUGAUCAAAUA